UACGUAGGGGACAAGCGUUGUCCGGAUUUAUUGGGCGUAAAGAGCUCGUAGGCGGUUUGUCGCGUCUGCCGUGAAAGUCCGGGGCUCAACUCCGGAUCUGCGGUGGGUACGGGCAGACUAGAGUGAUGUAGGGGAGACUGGAAUUCCUGGUGUAGCGGUGAAAUGCGCAGAUAUCAGGAGGAACACCGAUGGCGAAGGCAGGUCUCUGGGCAUUAACUGACGCUGAGGAGCGAAAGCAUGGGGAGCGAACAGG
rnacentral:rRNA from 1 species